ACUGGAACUACUGACACCAUGACACUAAGUGCAUGCGGGCUGGAUAAACCUCGUCAUACUUUAUCUUUUCGAAAACAAGUUUCUGCUGCCAGUUCUUCUGCCGAUCUUAGUAAAAGGAUGAUGGAGCUUGGUGAUGGCUCGGAGACGUCGUCAGACGUGGAAGACCUUACAGAGUCGUAUCCAUUAGAGGAGGAUUUCUACAGUCAAGAAGUCAGCACAA